AAAUCACAGAAGCGGAUGUUUGUAUGAAUUAAACCAGUGGAAAUGGCCUUUAUCCAGGAGAAAGGAUUUUGAAAAUGUACAAGGUCUACCGUUUUGACAUGGAUCUGAAACAAAUAUUCAAUUUAUAUAGACAGUCUUAAGAGGUGUUAUGUGAAGAAAUAAUCACUGCUGUUAUUAAAAAUCCUGGGAUGGAAGACUUCUGGAACGGUUGGAUCCUACAAAGAGAUACCAAACUCAAAACAAGAAAGGUUCUUUUCACAUUAAUCUCUUCUCAUUUGUGUGCACAUGGCUUCUGACAAUACAGCCUGGCCUCUUCUGCAGACCAAACUCAUGCUACAGUAUGAUGGCAAAGCAUUAUGAAAUAGCCUUUGCAACAACACUGCAAGUUUACCAGCUGUAUCAAGCCAGAAUCCACCUAGUUUCAUAUUCAACAUCUGAUUUCCUCACAAAAGAUACACGGAGGAGAGAGUGAUGCGUUAUUAAAUCAAUCUGGAUUUUCCUUAACCACGUACUGUAAAAGAUUGACUUACUUAAGUGGAGAGGUUUGUAUCUUUUUCAAAUUAUUC